GACGAACGCUGGCGGCGUGCUUAAUACAUGCAAGUCGAACGGAAAGGCCCUGCUCUUGCGGCGUGCUUGUGUGGCGAACGGGUGAGUAACACGUGUGUAACCUGCCCUUGUCUUUGUGAUAACUCUUCGAAACUGCGGCUCAUAUCGGAUAUGAUCUUCUGCUGCAUGUUGUGGGUUGGAAAGUUUCGGCGGUUCGGUCUCGUCUCGCUGCUUAUCAGCUUGUUGGUGUGGUAGUUGCUUACCAAGCCUUUGACGGAUAGCCGGCCUAGGAGGGUUAACGGGCACAUGGGGACUAAGAUAGGGAGCAGAAGCGAACGGGACGCAGCAGGGGGGAAUAUUGCAGAGUGGGGGGAAGUGUGAGGCAAAAACGCCGGGAGCGGGAUGAUGGGCUACGGGUGGUAAACCGAUUUGGCAGGUGAUGAAGAGAGAGUGACGGUAAUGGAUAAGGAAGCAACGGCUAACUACGUG
rnacentral:rRNA from 1 species